ACUUGUUUUUCUUGUCCCUGCUUUUGGAACCCAUUUCUUCAGGGCCCCUGCCUGGCCUUGCAGGUAAUGUUAUAGCUCCAGCUGGACUUUGGAGUGAGUCAGCCUGGUCAGAGAAGGACUUGUUUUUCUCUUUACUUGUUUUUCUUACAUUUCCUGGUUCAUCAGCAAGAAACAACACGCUAUUUACCUUCACAGUAGAAGAGUCCAGCAGAACCAAGAUAGAAGCAGAGUGGGUGAAUCUAAACCUGUGGACACAUUCAUCUUGGAAACCCUAAGAGAGGCGAAAGGAUCCUGCUCCAGCUAUGUGAGACAUUUGUAUCUGCUUUGCCUCCUGCCAUGAAUUAAAGUUCCCUGAGGCCUCCCCAGAAGCACAUACUCCCAUGCUUCCUGUAGAGCCUGCAGAACUGGAGAAAACAAAUUGUAAGGAGAUUUAAAGGAUUCUCAAAUACAAACUGAAGUUAUCAAGAACAAGAUAAUGAAGGACAGUAACAAUCAGGUAGGGACAUGUAUGAGGGCUAAGAAG